rnacentral:rRNA from 1 species
AUUGAACGCUGGCGGCAUGCCUUACACAUGCAAGUCGAACGGUAACAGGUCUUCGGAUGCUGACGAGUGGCGAACGGGUGAGUAAUACAUCGGAACGUGCCUAGUAGUGGGGGAUAACUACUCGAAAGAGUGGCUAAUACCGCAUGAGAUCUACGGAUGAAAGCAGGGGAUCGCAAGACCUUGUGCUACUAGAGCGGCCGAUGGCAGAUUAGGUAGUGGGUGGGAUAAAAGCUUACCAAGCCGACGAUCUGUAGCUGGUCUGAGAGGACGAUCAGCCACGCUGGGACUGAGACACGGCCCAGACUCCUCCGGGAGGCAGCAGUGGGGAAUUUUGGACAAUGGGCGCAAACCUGAUCCAGCAAUGCCGCUUGCAGGAUGAAGGCCUUCGGUUUGUAAACUGCUUUUGUACGGAACGAAAAGCCCUGGGUUAAUACCCUGGGGUCAUGACGGUACCGUAAGAAUAAGCACCGGCUAACUACGUGCCAGCCGCCGCCGUAACAC